CGGACGGGGGAGUAACACGUGGGUAACCUGCCCUUAAGUGGGGGAUAACAUUUGGAAACAGAUGCUAAUACCGCAUAGAUCCAAGAACCGCAUGGUUCUUGGCUGAAAGAUGGCGUAAGCUAUCGCUUUUGGAUGGACCCGCGGCGUAUUAGCUAGUUGGUGAGGUGAUGGCUCACCAAGGCGAUGAUACGUAGCCGAACUGAGAGGUUGAUCGGCCACAUUGGGACUGAGACACGGCCCAAACUCCUACGGGAGGCAGCAGUAGGGAAUCUUCCACAAUGGACGCAAGUCUGAUGGAGCAACGCCGCGUGAGUGAAGAAGGCUUUCGGGUCGUAAAACUCUGUUGUUGGAGAAGAAUGGUCGGCAGAGUAACUGUUGUCGGCGUGACGGUAUCCAACCAGAAAGCCACGGCUAACUACGUGCCAGCAGCCGCGGUAAUACGUAGGUGGCAAGCGUUAUCCGGAUUUAUUGGGCGUAAAGCGAGCGCAGGCGGUUUUUUAAGUCUGAUGUGAAAGCCCUCGGCUUAACCGAGGAAGCGCAUCGGAAGCUGGGAAACUUGAGUGCAGAAGAGGACAGUGGAACUCCAUGUGUAGCGGUGAAAUGCGUAGAUAUAUGGAAGAACACCAGUGGCGAAGGCGGCUGUCUGGUCUGUAACUGACGCUGAGGCUCGAAAGCAUGGGUAGCGAACAGGAUUAGAUACCCUGGUAGUCCAUGCCGUAAACGAUGAAUGCUAGGUGUUGGAGGGUUUCCGCCCUUCAGUGCCGCAGCUAACGCA
rnacentral:rRNA from 1 species